CCUACGGGUGGCUGCAGUGAGGAAUAUUGGUCAAUGGGCGAGAGCCUGAACCAGCCAAGUCGCGUGAGGGAAGACGGUCCUAUGGAUUGUAAACCUCUUUUGCCGGGGAGCAAAAAGCGGUACGUGUACCGCAUCGAGAGUACCCGGAGAAAAAGCAUCGGCUAACUCCGUGCCAGCAGCCGCGGUAAUACGGAGGAUGCGAGCGUUAUCCGGAUUCACUGGGUGUAAAGGGAGCGUAGACGGCCAUGCAAGCCAGGGGUGAAAGCCCGGGGCCCAACCCCGGGACUGCCCUUGGAACUGCAUGGCUGGAGUGCGGGAGGGGCAGGCGGAAUUCCUGGUGUAGCGGUGAAAUGCGUAGAUAUCAGGAGGAACACCGGCGGCGAAGGCGGCCUGCUGGACCGCGACUGACGUUGAGGCUCGAAAGCGUGGGGAGCGAACAGGAUUAGAUACCCCUGUAGUC
rnacentral:rRNA from 1 species